AUUGAACGCUGGCGGCAGGCCUAACACAUGCAAGUCGAGCGGAUGAAGGGAGCUUGCUCCUGGAUUCAGCGGCGGACGGGUGAGUAAUGCCUAGGAAUCUGCCUGGUAGUGGGGGAUAACGUCCGGAAACGGGCGCUAAUACCGCAUACGUCCUGAGGGAGAAAGUGGGGGAUCUUCGGACCUCACGCUAUCAGAUGAGCCUAGGUCGGAUUAGCUAGUUGGUGGGGUAAAGGCCUACCAAGGCGACGAUCCGUAACUGGUCUGAGAGGAUGAUCAGUCACACUGGAACAGAGACACGGUCCAGACUCCUACGGGAGGCAGCAGUGGGGAAUAUUGGACGAUGGGCGAAAGCCUGAUCCAGCCAAGCCGCGUGUGUGAAGAAGGUCUUCGGAUUGUAAAGCACUUUAAGUUGGGAGGAAGGGCAGUAAGUUAAUACCUUGCUGUUUUGACGUUACCAACAGAAUAAGCACCGGCUAACUUCGUG
rnacentral:rRNA from 1 species